CUGGCUCAGGAUGAACGCUAGCGGCAGGCUUAACACAUGCAAGUCGAGGGGCAACGCGAGUAGCAAUACUUGGCGGCGACCGGCGCAAGGGUGCGUAACGCGUGAGCAACAUGCCCGUAUCAGGGGGAUAAUCCAGGGAAACUUGGUCUAAUACCCCAUAGUAAUUUUGUAAGGCAUCUUAUAAGAUUUAGAGCUUUGGUGGAUACGGAUUGGCUCGCGUGACAUUAGCUGGAUGGUAAGGUAACGGCUUACCAUGGCUAUGAUGUCUAGGGGUUCUGAGAGGAAGGUCCCCCCACACUGGAACUGAGACACGGUCCAGACUCCUACGGGAGGCAGCAGUGAGGAAUAUUGGACAAUGGAUGGAAAUCUGAUCCAGCCAUGCCGCGUGAAGGAAGAAAGGUCCUAUGGAUUGUAAACUUCUUUUGUAUGGGAGCAAUAAGGCCUACGAGUAGGUUGAUGAGAGUACCAUACGAAUAAGCACCGGCUAACUCCGUGCCAGCAGCUGC
rnacentral:rRNA from 1 species